CAUCGGUGCAGGGGGUGGUGGUUGCGGGUUGCAUCGCAGUGAGUGGCAGACCCCCUGAGCUGUGUUGUGGGUCGAUUCACGGCGAGCGGAGAACGCCGGUGAACUUCAACGUAAGGUACGGUAGCUGGCCAUUCUGUUCUGUGAAAGUUUUUGUAUGUGAAAUCACCUAGGAUGAUGUCAAUUACAUCAUACUCUUCAUGGUAUGCAAAGAAAAUCCUUAACCUUACCCCUGGCCUCUUUCCGGUCAGUUCAUCUGGUAGGCAGAUGCACUGAUUCAGGUUAAAACUUAAAACUACCAACCACUAUUCUCUCAUCCCCAUCUUCAAUAGUUUGCAAAUGUCAUAUUUCAGAGGUCAAACUCUAGGAUUGAUAGAUUAUUCUAUUAGAAUGAGUAUAACCAACUGUAGAUUAAACACCUUUGAAAAAAAUACGAGAGCCAAGAGAGGCAGGACGUGUUUCAUUUUUGCACAGGGAUGAGUAAAGUUGGAUCUAGAGAGAACAAAUAGCAAGUACAGUGGAACUCGAAAGCACAAUCUAUCAUGUUAACAUUUUCAGCUUGCGGCACACGAUAAAACGACUUUCUGAAAAUGAAUAUAAAGUGAAUCCAAGAAUAAAGUUACUUUUACAAUUAUCAUUUUCUUAGGUUAUCUAUCCAUGUAAUAUACAUAAAAAUAUCAGGGCAAUAAAAUGCCUUUCCCUAUCAGACUUUUAUGGUCUAGUUGAGUAACAUGGGAUGGAGCUCAGGAAUAAAUGUCCAUUCGAGGACAUUGCAUAUGUAUUAACAAUUUACCAUUCUGAACAAAGCUCCUCUACUGAAACCGAACACGGUAGUUGUACUGUCUGAUUUAUACAAGAGACUCUCUGAAAUAUUCCCAGAAAUCUGAUGUUGUAAUGGUUCGUACCUCUUUUCUGCCAGACCUGAAUGUUUGCUGAAAAUUCAGCCUUUGUGCUAGCAAUUUCGAGUUGUUUUCAAAUAUUACGCUCCAUCCUUGUUAGUCACAAGCUUGUCUUGGGCAUGCUCCGCCUUAACCCGAACAAGCUGCAACACCUAUUUAACAACAACAGUUGGAGAGUCAUGUAUCUAUUUUCCUUGUCAGUGUUUUCUGAUUACCUAGAACUGAUGCAAUUGCUUCACUGCCGGUUCAUGUUUACUGUAUAUUUUUCACUAGGAUAAUGUGCUCUAGAUAGGAUGCUCCUGUUUGAGAAAUAACACUAGGUGACUCAGCUACAUACAUUUAAACAAAAAUGGGAAUAUAAUAAUACCAUCCUCAUAAAUUUAUUUUUAUUUUUCAUCUCUUAGGUGCAUCUUAUUUUAGUUGUUUUAGUAACUCUUAUUGUCUUGCUUUUGUGCAUGUGGUCUGAUGUUAGUGCUAGGAAGGCCACCACCAACAUUAGUAGACAAUGGUUUUGAGUCCCUCAAAGAUUGGUCCAGGUCGAGGAAAUCCCAGAACAAAGGUUGUUCCUUACGCUAGUGUCUUCCAUAGAACCCAACCACCGAAGAGCAGCAGGAGAAAUAAACAUUUAAGUUCCAAGCUACUUUCUCCUUUGAAGUUCCACCGAACAAAUUAGUGUGUCAGAUUCUUCUUGUAGUCUUGUUAGCGCCUUUGCUCUGCAGGAAAUCUUCGUAUGUGACAUAAGUUUGAUGCAAUCUAAUGUUAUAUGCAAUGCUUCCCUUGGCGUGAGAAAGUGCUCACGUGGUGAGGCUUUGGCUCUGUCUUUCAAGUACAGCGUGUUGACCUUGAUCGUUGGAGAGUCAGCUUCAUUGUAACAUUGACCCGGCAUUUUCAUUCAAUCCACUUAAUGCCUUAUGAUGGUAUCCUUUUAGUCUUGUGAAUUCUCAUCAAUAGUUUUUGUGUUGCAGACAGAGACGAAUCAGCAUAGCUCGCCUGCGUCAUCUUACAUGAUUUGAAUCAAACCAGGCCUUUACCCGAUUCUUUGGAGAAGUUCAGACCGAUGAAAAUUCAUAUCUAAAAAACUUGAUUUGAAACUCCCCUUGUACAUACUCUCCCUAAAACAAACUGCACUCUUGUAUAUAGCUGGAUAUCUUUAUUCUCGUGUCCUGUCCAUGUAAUGUACUACUUGCUUAUGAAUGCUUCCUUCUAUUGGAGUCAUCUAGCAGAUCAUAUCCGGAAUUGUUGUACUGCAAGAAUGAUUGAUGUCACCUAAGUGACAUUUUGUAAUUCACAUUUUUUAUGUCCCAUCGUAUACCAUAUUUUA